rnacentral:rRNA from 12 species
GCUUACGGCCAUACCACCCUGAGCACGCCCGAUCUCGUCUGAUCUCGGAAGCUAAGCAGGGUCGGGCCUGGUUAGUACUUGGAUGGGAGACCGCCUGGGAAUACCAGGUGCUGUAAGCUU